rnacentral:rRNA from 1 species
GAUGAACGCUAGCUACAGGCUUAACACAUGCAAGUCGAGGGACCGGCGCACGGGUGAGUAACACGUAUCCACCCUGCCCUUUACUCGGGGAUAGCCUUUCGAAAGAAAGAUUAAUACCCGAUAUAAAGGUUGGGGAUGCGUUCCAUUAGGUUGUUGGUGAGGUAACGGCCCACCAAGCCUUCGAUUGAUAGGGGUUCUGAGAGGAAGGUCCCCCACAUUGGAAGUAAGACACGGACCAAACUCCGACGGGAGGCAGCAGUGAGGAAGAUUGGUCAAUGGGCGGUAGCCUGAACCAGCCAAGUAGCGUGAAGGAUGAAGGCUUAUGGGUCGUAAACUUCUUGUAUAGAAGAAUAUGUAUUAUAUGAAUAAGGAUCGGCUAACUCCGUGCCAGCAGCCGCGGUAAUAC